rnacentral:rRNA from 1 species
AUGUUUUGGAACGCCAUUACAUGGCACCUGAAGAAGAAGAAGAAGAUGAUGAUGAUGAUGGAUAUAACAUUACUACUACCUGAAGAUGGGGCCGUGCUCCUUGGCGAUGGCACGGAAGACGUCUGGUCCGUGGUUGGCGAGGAGAUGGAGAUGGCCGAGAGGAAACCUGGUUGGAGGCCCCGGGACCCUCCUGAGGGCCCAGAAUGGCGCGUAGAAGUAGACCAGAAACGCGCCGAUCACGGCCACACAAGACAGGAGGAGCAGUGCGGGCGCGCUUGUGCCGAGUGCCGCGGCAUGGCCUGCGGUUUCCAGAGCAAUGGAGCAGUUGGUGCCUUCCAUGGAGAUGGAGGAAGAAGGAGCUAG